GCAGACACAUUCCAGCCAAUCAGCAGCAGACCCUCUCUCCCAGACCCUCCCACCUCCUGGGCAGCUCACUAAGAAUGCAGCUUCAAAAUGGAUGCUGUCCAGGAGGUGGGAGGGUCUGGGAGGGAGGGUCUGCUGCUGAUUGGCUGGAAUGUGUCUG
rnacentral:miRNA from 1 species